UACGUAGGGUCCGAGCGUUGUCCGGAAUUAUUGGGCGUAAAGGGCUCGUAGGCGGUCCGUCACGUCGGGAGUGAAAACUCGGAGCUCAACUCCGAGCCUGCUUCCGAUACGGGCAGACUAGAGGUAGGCAGGGGAGAGCGAAACUCCUGGUGUAGCGGUGGAAUGCGCAGAUAUCAGGAAGAACACCGGUGGCGAAGGCGGCUCUCUGGGCCUUACCUGACGCUGAGGAGCGAAAGCGUGGGUAGCGAACAGG
rnacentral:rRNA from 1 species